AACAGGAUUAGAUACCCUGGUAGUCCAUGCCGUAAACGAUGAGUGUUAAGUGUUAGGGGGUUUCCGCCCCUUAGUGCUGCAGCUAACGCAUUAAGCACUCCGCCUGGGGAGUACGGCCGCAAGGCUGAAACUCAAAGGAAUUGACGGGGGCCCGCACAAGCGGUGGAGCAUGUGGUUUAAUUCGAAGCAACGCGAAGAACCUUACCAGGUCUUGACAUCCCGCUGCCCGGUGUAGAGAUACGCCUUUCCCUUCGGGGACAGCGGUGACAGGUGGUGCAUGGUUGUCGUCAGCUCGUGUCGUGAGAUGUUGGGUUAAGUCCCGCAACGAGCGCAACCCUUGAUCUUAGUUGCCAGCAUUCAGUUGGGCACUCUAAGGUGACUGCCGGUGACAAACCGGAGGAAGGUGGGGAUGACGUCAAAUCAUCAUGCCCCUUAUGACCUGGGCUACACACGUGCUACAAUGGACGGUACAAAGGGCUGCCAACCCGCGAGGGGGAGCCAAUCCCAGAAAACCGUUCUCAGUUCGGAUUGCAGGCUGCAACUCGCCUGCAUGAAGCCGGAAUCGCUAGUAAUCGUGGAUCAGCAUGCCACGGUGAAUACGUUCCCGGGCCUUGUACACACCGCCCGUCACACCACGAGAGUUUGUAACACCCGAAGUCGGUGAGGUAACCCUUUGUGGGAGCCAGCCGCCGAAGGUGGGACGGAUGAUUGGGGUGAAGUCGUAACAAGGUAACC
rnacentral:rRNA from 1 species